rnacentral:rRNA from 1 species
UACGGGGGGGGCAAGCGUUGUUCGGAAUUACUGGGCGUAAAGGGCUCGUAGGCGGCCAACUAAGUCAGACGUGAAAUCCCUCGGCUUAACCGGGGAACUGCAUCUGAUACUGGAUGGCUUGAGAUUGGGAGAGGGAUGCGGAAUUCCAGGUGUAGCGGUGAAAUGCGUAGAUAUCUGGAGGAACACCGGUGGCGAAGGCAGCAUCCUGGACCAAUACUGACGCUGAGGAGCGAAAGCCAGGGGAGCAAACGGG